UACAGAGGUCUCAAGCGUUGUUCGGAUUCAUUGGGCGUAAAGGGUGCGUAGGCGGCGCGGUAAGUCGGGUGUGAAAUCUUGGAGCUUAACUCCGAAACUGCAUUCGAUACUGCCGUGCUUGAGGACUGGAGAGGAGACUGGAAUUUACGGUGUAGCGGUGAAAUGCGUAGAUAUCGUAAGGAAGACCAGUGGGCGAAGGCGGGUCUC
rnacentral:rRNA from 1 species